rnacentral:rRNA from 1 species
CCUGCCUCAAGUGAAGCAAGAUGACCCGCUGAACUUAAGCAUAUCACUAAGCGGAGGAGCAAAAACUAACCAGGAUUCCCCCAGUAGCAGCGAGCGAAGAGGGAAAAGCCCGAGCCGAAAGGGGCGGCUCCUGCCCAAGAUAAUCCUGUUUUGGGUAGGUAGGUCGACCCGGUGUGGCCGGCGCGAGCGGGCGAGGAAGCCGACGCGAGGCCGUGGAACCGGCCGCUAGAAAGGGUGACAGCCCCCUCCAGACGUCUUCCUCGCUCCGCGCGCCCAGAGAGUAGCGCUGCACGAUAUUGCAGCGUGAAGCAGGUGGUAAACCCCAUCUAAGGCUAAAUACGCGCGAGAGACCGAUAGCGAACAAGUACCGCGAGGGAAAGUUGAAAAGAAUUUUGGAAAAAAAGUCAAAAGAGCCUGAAAUUGCAGCGGCACAAGCCUUUCCGGCCUGAGGUCGCUCAGCGGCCGCACGGGCCGGCAAGGGCCCGUCUCGAAACACGGACCAAGGAGUCUGGCGCACAGGCGAGUGCUCUGGCGGAAACCCAGUGCGCGCAGCGAACGCAGCGCCCCCGCAGCCUCGGCGGAAGGGGGAGCGCGCGCGGCACAGGCCGCGCUCCGCGUGAGCCUGUGCGCCGGGACCCGAAAGGCGGUGAUCUACGCCUGGGCAGGGCGAAGCCAGGGGAAACCCUGGUGGAGGCCCGAAGCGGUGCUGACGUGCAAAUCGCUCGCGGGACCUGGGCGUAGGGGCGAAAGACCAAUCGAACCGCCUGGUAGCUGGUUCCCUGCGAAGUUUCUCUCAGGAUAGCGGGCGCCAAUCGCAGUUUGGUCCGGUAAAGCUGAUGACUGGAGACUCCCGGGCCCUAGGGCCUGGGGCUACUCUCAAACUUUGAACGGGCCAGCUCCGCGGUUGCCUAACAGAACCGCGGAGAAUAAUGCGGGCGCCUAGUGGGCUGGCCUUGGUAAGCAGGGCCGGCGAUGCGGGUCGAACCGGACGCGCGGGUUAAGGUGCCACAGGGCCGCUCACAGACGGAAAGGCGUCGGUUUAUCUUGACAGCCGGGCGGUGGCCAUGGAAGUCGGAAUCCGCUAAGUAGUGUGUAACAACUUACCGGUCGAAUAAACCGGCCCUGAAAAUGGAUGGCGCUCAAGCGGCCCACCGAAACCCGGCCGUCGGCGCAACGCGAGGCGCCGACGAGUAGCAGGGCGUGGGGGUCGCGCCGAAGCGCGCGCGCGAGCGCGCGUGGAGCGGCUCUCAGUGCAGAUCUUGGUGGUAGUAGCAACUAGCGGGGCUAUGGCUCCGCGGCUGGGAGGAGAAGGGUUCCGUGAGAACGGCAAACGGUCACGGGUGAGUCGGUCCUAAGGCCUCGGGCAGUUCCGACGAGCGCGAGCGCAGCGGCCGAAAGGGAACCCGGUUAACAUUCCGGGACCAGAGCCCGCGAGCGGCGACGCGGCGCCUCUCGGAGACGCCACGGCGGGCGGCGAGGAGAGCUCUCUCGUCUCCCCAACGCGGCCAGCCCGCCCGGAUGCGGGUCGCCCGGAGCAGGGCGGGCAGCGCGCAAAGGCGCCCAGCGGGCGUUCGACGCGCCCGCCGUGGCCCAUGAAAAUCCGGGGGCCGCGGGCUCUGUCCGUACCCAAACCGCAUCAGGUCUCCAGGGUGCACAGCCUCUAGCCGAUGGAAUAAUGCAGGUAAGGGAACUCGGCAAAAUGGGUCCGUAACUUCGGGAGAAGGACUGGCUCUUGGGGCCGGGCGGAGCGAGCCCACCAUCGCCGCUCUGCUGUGAUGGGGGGCUUCCCGCCAACGCGGCUCGCCAAGAACUGGCGCGGACAAGGGGACCCCGACUGUUUAAUUAAAACAUAGCAUUGUGAUGGUCCCUGCGGAUGCAGACACAAUGUGAAUUCUGCUCAGUGCUCUGAAUGUCACCGAGAUGAGAUUCUCUCAAGCUCGAGUAAACGGCGGGAGUAACUAUGACUCUCUUAAGGUAGCCAAAUGCCUCGUCAUUUAAUUGGUGACGCGCAUGAAUGGAACAACGAGGGUCCCACUGUCCCUACCUGCGAUCCAGCGAACCCACAGCCAAGGGAACGGGCUUGGGCCGAUCAGCGGGGCAAGAAGACCCUGUUGAGCUUGACUCUAGUCUGUCGCCGUGCGGCAGCGCGGGGGGUGUAGAAUAAGCGGGAGCGCAAGCGCCAGUGAAAUACCGCUACCCCUGACGCUGCUGCACUCACCCGGUUCACGGCGCGGGCUCUGCCCUCUUAGUAGAACCAAGCCUCCGGGCUUCGCUCGCCGGGGACGCCGCCAGGUUGGGAGUUUGGCUGGGGCGGCACAUCUGCUACACAGCAACGCAGGUGUCCCAAGAUCAGCUCACCGAGGCCAGAAACCUCGGGUGGAGCAAAAGGGCAAAAGCUGAUUUGACUCCCACCCCCAGUGCGGGUGCGAGCUGUGAAAGCACGGCCUAUCGAUCCUCUGACGGUCGGGGCUUGACCGCAGAGGUGUCAGAAAAGUUACCACAGGGAUAACUGGCUUGUGGCAGCCAAGCGCUCAUAGCGACGCUGCUUUUUGAUCCUUCGAUGUCGGCUCUUCCUAACUAUGCCUUGCACAAGGGGCAGAAAGUAAGAUUGUUCACCUACUGACAGGGAACGUGAGCUGGGUUUAGACCGUCGUGAGACAGGUUAGUUUUAUCCUACUGAUCGCGCCGUUCCGAUAGUAAUCCAGCCCAGUACGAGAGGAACAGCUGGUUCACAUCACCGGUAACUCGGUUGGCCGAGCGGCCAGUGCCGAGAAGCUGCCAUGUGUGGGAGUACAGCUGAACGCCUCUAAGCUGGAUGCCCUGCUAGACGAACGGGCUGCUCCGCCGCGGGCACCCUUGCGCUACUAUAGAGAGAGUUUUUUAUUUUAUAAGAGCUUUCAUUAACCAACAACGCAAUCGUGCCGGCGGGGCGCAAGAUCCAUUGCAGACGACCUUGGGCCGUCGGGGUAUUGUACGCGUUCGAGCGGCUUCGCCGCGAGUCGCUGAGAUUCAUCCCCGCACAGUGAUCUAC